GGCCAUCGCUCAACGGAUAAAAGCUACCCCGGGGAUAACAGGCUUAUCUCCCCCAAGAGUCCACAUCGACGGGGAGGUUUGGCACCUCGAUGUCGGCUCAUCGCAUCCUGGGGCUGUAGUCGGUCCCUAUCCGUCGUGGGCGUAGGAAAUUUGAGAGGAGCUGUCCUUAGUACGAGAGGACCGGGAUGGACGCACCGCUGGUGUACCAGUUGUUCUGCCAAGGGCAUAGCUGGGUAGCUAUGUGCGGAAGGGAUAAGUGCUGAAAGCAUCUAAGCAUGAAGCCCCCCUCAAGAUGAGAUUUCCCAUAGCGUAAGCUAGUAAGAUCCCUGAAAGAUGAUCAGGUUGAUAGGUUCGAGGUGGAAGCAUGGUGACAUGUGGAGCUGACGAAUACUAAUAGAUCGAGGACUUAACCAUAUAA
rnacentral:rRNA from 1 species